rnacentral:rRNA from 1 species
UCAUGGCAAGCGUUGUCCGGCUUGAGCUUGAUCCUGGCUCAGGACGAACGCUGGCGGUAUGCCUAAUACAUGCAAGUCGAACGCUGAAGCACUCUGCUUGCAGAGUGUGGAUGAGUGGCGAACGGGUGAGUAACACGUGGGGAACCUGCCCAUAAGAGGGGGAUAACAUCCGGAAACGGGUGCUAAUACCGCAUAGGUGAUCAUAGCGCAUGCUUAGAUCAUUAAAGAUGGCUUCGGCUAUCGCUUAUGGAUGGCCCCGCGGCGUAUUAGCUAGUUGGUGAGGUAAUGGCUCACCAAGGCUGUGAUACGUAGCCGACCUGAGAGGGUGAUCGGCCACACUGGAACUGAGACACGGUCCAGACUCCUACGGGAGGCAGCAGUAGGGAAUCUUCCACAAUGGGCGAAAGCCUGAUGGAGCAAUACCGCGUGAGUGAAGAAGGUCUUCGGAUCGUAAAGCUCUGUUGUUAGAGAAGAACAAGAGGUGUAGUAACUGGCACCUCCUUGACGGUAUCUAACCAGAAAGUCACGGCUAACUACGUGCCAGCAGCCGCUGUA